GCUGCUCGAAACUUAGCAUACCUCUUCGUGAUGAGCAGCAGACAACGCUUAUACUUGAGAGUAUAAGCGGCUGAGAUACGUAG
rnacentral:ribozyme from 1 species